rnacentral:lncRNA from 1 species
UGGGAUUACACGCGUGAGCCACCACGCCCGGCCAGAGAAACAUUUUACUAAGAGAGAUAACCUGGGGGAGAUGCUGCCAACCCUCCUGGUGACCCAGCAGGCCCAGGAAAUGCCCAGCACUUUAAUCAUCAAGCGUCCAAACCUCAGAGGCAUUCACUCCCAUCCUCAGCAUCCCAGGAUCCAACUCGUCCCCAACUCUGGGGAUCACCUGGGAACAGCAACAACAGAGGCCUUUGCAGAUAACAAAGCCUUUCAAAGACUCUACUCCCAGUGGCUUGACUGACAGAAACAAACAACCGACUGACCUAUAGACAAAGGCUAUAUCUACACAAGCAGCUCAAUUUUGGAGGAAAGGGAAUGAGUCUGCUGGUGUGAACACAACCGCCUGCCAGGAAAAGAACCUACUGAGUGCCGAGCACAUUGGCCCAGGCCUCCAUCAUCUAAUUUGUUCCCUGGGUCAAUGCCUACUGGACAAAGAAGCCAAUGAACUAAACUCAACACGAGACCAGAAUCUUGGUGUAGGCAUUCUGUCACUGGCUUUCUACAUGACCUUAAGAGAAGACUUCUUUCCCUGAGCCCCUAUAAAAUGAGGCUUUGGCCUCUGCACCCUCCUAGAACUGAAUGAUAUUGAUUUCAAGGGCUCUGGUCCAGCACGAUUCUGCUCUUAUCAACUCCAGAUUCUUGGUAAAACACUCACUAAUGACCAGAUACGAUCACAGAAGGUGUUUCCACUCACCCCCCCUUGCCUUAUUCCAGUUUGCCCACACCUUGUGCCUUUUGGUAAGAGAAAACAAAGAGGCCUGACGCUGGGAUACGCUUAGAGAAGAUUCGCAGGACAUCUUGGAUCUGCCAGAGGGCGGACCUCUUGGCUGGAAGCCCCAGCCCUUGAGCCAAGCAAUUGUCCCCUUAAUUAAAGACAUACCCCGGACUAUGGAGAGAGCCAGUGGGGACUGACUCAUUUACACUUGGACCAUGAGCCAGGCUGUGCUAAGGAGUCUGCUCUGUGGCUCAGAGGAGGAGGUGGACCUUUUUAUGGAAAUGACUUGAGAUUUUCCUCUUUCAGGAAAAACAAUCUUUUUUUUUUCUUGGAGUAAAUAAAAUAUCUCAG